rnacentral:tRNA from 1 species
ACCCAGUUAGCUCAGUAGGAUAGAGCGAUUCCCUCCUAAGGAAUAGGUCACAAGUUCGAUUCUUGUACUGGGUGCCA